rnacentral:rRNA from 1 species
UACGAAGGGGGCUAGCGUUGCUCGGAAUUACUGGGCGUAAAGCGCACGUAGGCGGUCUUUUAAGUCGGGGGUGAAAUCCUGGAGCUCAACUCCAGAACUGCCUUCGAUACUGGAAGACUCGAGUCCGGGAGAGGUGAGUGGAACUGCGAGUGUAGAGGUGAAAUUCGUAGAUAUUCGCAAGAACACCAGUGGCGAAGGCGGCUCACUGGCCCGGUACUGACGCUGAGACGCGAAAGCGUGGGGAGCAAACAGG